rnacentral:rRNA from 1 species
UACGGAAGGGGCAAGCGUUGUUCGGAAUCAUUGGGCGUAAAGGGCGCGUAGGUGGUUCUGUAUGUCUACCGUGAAAGCGUACGGCUCAACCGUAUUUUGUCGGUGGAAACUGCAGGACUUGAGGCUGGGAGGGGCUGGUGGAAUUCCUGGUGUAGCGGUGAAAUGCGCAGAUAUCAGGAGGAACACCAGCGGCGAAGGCGGCGCUCUGGGCCGGAACUGACGCUGAGGAGCGAAAGCGUGGGUAGCAAACAGG